rnacentral:rRNA from 1 species
GACGAACGCUGGCGGCGUGCUUAACACAUGCAAGUCGAACGAAGUGGCGAACGGGUGAGUAACGCGUAAUCAACCUGCCCUUCAGAGGGGGACAAACGUUGGAAACGACUUCCAAUACCGCAUACUGAAGGAGGGGAAUGGGUCUGAUUAGCUCGUAGGAGGGGUAACGGCCCACCAAGGCGAUGAUCAGUAGCCGGGUUGUGAGUGUGAACGGCAACAUUGGGACUGAGACACGGCCCAGACUCCUACGGGAGGCAGCAGUGGGGAAUCUGCCGCAAUGGACGAAAGUCUGACGGAGCAACGCCGCGUGAGUGAUGACGGCCUUCGGGUUGUAAAGCUCUGUUAAUCGGGACGCGGUACCGGAAUAGAAAGCCACGGCUAACUACGUGCCAGCAGCCGCGGUAAUUC